AAAAUUAUUUCAUACUGUUUCCAGAUCCUAAAGUGUGACGAAGUCUUGGAAAAUUGUUGUCCAUUCAUAAAUUAAAAGACCAUGACGGUACAGAAAAUCCCCAAAAGUCUCGUCUUCCUCGGAGUUAUCAUCUUUUGUUUGGCCCUCUGCCACGCUCAACCGCACCAGUGCGGCAAGAAAUGUUCGGGCGGAAUAAGUGCUUGCCAAAAGUGCUGUCGGGAUGCGCAUUACUCGAACGGUGGGUACUGUCACACCGGUUAUGCGGCCAUUACAUGCAACUGCCUCGGAGUGAAGAUAACCACACGACGACCAACACCAACAACGCGACGAUACUACGGUUAACAUUUUUCUGAUGAAUAUGUGUGUAAUUUGCAUGGAACUAUCUAAAUAAAUAAAAUUAUCACAAGAAAAAGUUAAUUUCUGUAAAAUUCCGGGACAAACAUAAAUAAAUUUUCAUAGCCAUUUCCUUUGUCAUGCUAAAUCCCAGUAUGAAAUAAAAUGAACAAUUAGUGAAUAAUGAAUAAUGAAUAAAUAUGUAACUUUUUCAAGUGUUGAA